AACCCAACUGUGGUGGCUGGCAGUAUGUAAAAGUGGGUGGUCAGACAUGAUGAAAAAUGAGUAAGCCCCAAAAGAUAGGAAUCCAAGAACUGUAAAGCUGCCGAAGAAAAUACUUCCCCUCCAGUCUUCUCAACAGAAAUUACUGGGUGUACACAGUUCACUUAAGUCCAUGUUUGAAACACAGUGUACUUCUUGACCACUUAAGUUAAGUGAACUUUUUUCACAACAAUUCAACAGUGAAAUGUUAAGAAAAUGAUCACAGGGGUAUACGGUUUUAGUGGAAACCAAGAACCAGAUGUACAAAAACUUUAAUAAGGAUGUUCCUAGACUGCGUGGACCAAUUCUAAACAUAAUUGGCAGUCUCAUGCAAUUGCAUUUUCUGGGUCACCAGCAAGAAAUAAACAUGGAAAUAUUCCAAAAAGGCAAACCAGAAUUCAUGUGUCUAAACUUACUUUUUGCCAGUAAUUUUAGAGUUUAAAGUAAGCUGGAGAAAAUAACAUAAAUCAAUGUGUCUUGACUAAAUUAAAAACAUGAUCCCUUGAUGACCAUAUAGACCCUACAUUAGAAGGCCUUAGCAGUAUUCAGAAACCCUCUGCUUGACCAAGAUUCUGCUGAAGCCUCAUAAUCCACUGAGAUGACAAUUGAGACUGCCUAAGCCUGAGCCACUCAACAGCCUUGACAGGAAAGCAAUGGGAGAUUCUUAACCAUGGAAAACAAGACUAAGUACAUAGAUUGAAAGGAUACGGAAAACUGGUAGAGCUCUCCUUCGUAACUGUAGAGUUAAAAUCCUCAUUUUCACUACUUAGCAGAAUGCCGUAAGCUCAACUUGAGCGAGAUGAAUGGGUUAUUAUUCCUUAACCUUUUCUCUUAUUUGCUAAAAAUGUAAACAUCUACACAAGGAAGACUAUUUGUCUUAGACGGAAAAAGUGUAUUUCUUAUCUCUGGUCUCAACCCACCUCUCCCUGCCAAGCAUUUUAUAUUAGCUUUUUUCUAAUAGCUGCUUUACAGAGCUUUUAAGAUUUUUUUCUCUGAAAACCCUCUCAUUUUGGGGUGUAAAAUUCAAGACACUCUGUGUUUUUUUUUGGUUUUUUUUUUUUUUACAAUCAGGCAGGACUUUCCUAUUUCCUACCACUCCCUUCUUUGAAAACUCCUUGCUGCAUGAACAUGCCGCCUGUCUUUCCUUAGCAUUUUUGCUUAGUUCAUCAAUCUCCUCUCACCUCAUCUUUUUUGGGUACUGUGAUGUCAAGAAUAGUUACCCCCAGAAAGGGAAACCUUUCCAUACAAUUUCAGAGCAUUCAUAGACCCAAGGUGUGACAGCCAGCUUCCAAGAUGACCUACUCCCCAGUGGGCCCAGUCCUCUCUCACACUGAAUAGAGAUGACCUGUGUCAAUUAUACUAGAAAAACGAUAGAGUGUGACUUCUGAGGCUGUGUUAUAAAAGACGUUGUCAUUUCCAUCUUGCUCUUUCUUGGAUAAUCCACUCUGGGGGAAGACAGCUACCACUGUCCUAAAGACACCCAAGCAGCCCUGGGGAGAGGACCAUGUGCUAAGGCCUCACAUCAACAGUCAGCAUGAACUUCUCAGCAACAUCAAAUGACCCCAAGCCAGAAACACCCAGUUAAGCUGCUUCUGCAUUCUUGACCCACAGAAACUAGCUCUGAAGAACUACUGAAGUGUAAUAAACUGCACAAAAUUUGAUCAGUUUUGCCAUUAUGUAUACUCUCCUGAGACCAUCACCAUAAUCAAGGUGUACUGGCGAAAGGACCCAGGAGUCAACCUGAAAGAGCUCCCACCAGCUAAACACAAGACAAACUAUCAGUAAAGCUAACAAAAAUAGACGGAGACACAAAUCAAUAUUAUAAACUCAAGUACUGAGUAUAUAAACUCCAAUAUUUGUAAGUCUCCGUUACCACUGAAGAACCCAGAACUGGUAAAUAAACAGAAUCAAACAUUGCCUUUAUUGCACGAAAUGAAUCUCACAGUAACCAAAGAGUAUCUCUGCCAAAAUUUCUCUUUAUAAAAGUGUCUCAAUUAACAAAUGAAAGGAGAGAACUGAAAUGUCCCUUUUUGCCUCCCUUCAUGAAAUAAUCGAUUACUCAAAAACUACGGAUGCUCAAUUACAAAAAGAAAACCAAGUAUGUGCUUCCUCACACACAUUUGUACUACCACCUAUGAAUUAUUCUUGCUUUAAAAAAAAAAGAGGGGGGGGGGGGCAGUGAAAAAGAAAAUCCUGCAUAUGGCCCAACUUUUUGUGGGCAACCCAGUGGAAUCACUCGGAGAAGCUAAAAUAGCCCUAACCCUGGAGUUAUGAUUUAAUCAGUUAUGUUUAAUUUAAAUAUGGCCUGGACAUUCAAACUUUUUGUGAGGCUCCCCAGGUGGUUCUAACACGUAGCCAACGUGAAGAUCACUGCUCUAGAUCUAACUACCACUUCACAAGAAUACAGAGGACUGAGAAACCAAACUAUAAGCGUAAAAUCAACUCAUCUAUUGUAACAGCAUAAAAAAUCCAGUUUCUUGCACAAAUAGCAAGGUAACAAAAUGGAAUGAAAAUCCAAAGAUUUAGGGUUUAAAAGCGGGACACUGGCUGGCUCAGUCAGUGGAGCAUGGAGACUCCUGAUCUCAGGGUUGUGAGUUCAAGACCCAUGUUGGGUGUAAAGAUAACUUAA